GUAUCCUUCCCGGUAACUUUCGGAAGCCUUUGCAACCUAAACAGGGUCCGCGACUAUAAAUACCGGAUGCAAGUAGCCUAGAGCUGCAACAUAAUCGAAUUGCGGGGACGUCCUAAAGCCUACGGUACCAACGUUCUAGGGAAACCUAUAGCGGGUCUAUGCUAACCACAUAGAAGGUAACAACCUGUAGGAUGCUACAAUGGAUAAUCCGCAGCGAAGCCUCUACCGGCGCAAGCCCACGGGGAACGUUCACAGACUAAGUGGUUGUGGGUAGAGCACGCUCUGCUUAAGAUAUAGUCGGACGCUGUAAGAAAUUACAGCGGCUAUUCGUUCCGUAGGUGAACCUGCGGAAGGAUCAUUACAGAGUUCAUGCCCUAACGGGUAGAUCUCCCACCCUUGUGUAUCAUAAUUAUCUGUUGCUUUGGCGGAUCGCGAGUCACAUCGCCCUGUGUAUCCGCCAGAGGACCAAUAAACUCUGAAUGUUAGUGUCGUCUGAGUACUAUAUAAUAGUUAAAACUUUCAACAACGGAUCUCUUGGUUCUGGCAUCGAUGAAGAACGCAGCGAAAUGCGAUAAGUAAUGUGAAUUGCAGAAUUCAGUGAAUCAUCGAAUCUUUGAACGCACAUUGCGCCCCUUGGUAUUCCGGGGGGCAUGCCUGUUCGAGCGUCAUUAUAACCAAUCCAGCUUGCUGGGUCUUGGGCUUCGCCUCCCUGGCGGGCCUUAAAAUCAGUGGCGGUGCUCUUCAGCUCUACGCGUAGUAAUUAUUCUCGCUAUUGGGUCUGGAGGGAUGCUUGCCAACAACCCCCAAUUUUUUAGGUUGACCUCGGAU
rnacentral:sRNA from 1 species